rnacentral:rRNA from 1 species
AGGAUGAACGCUAGCGGUGUGCCUAAUGCAUGCAAGUCGAACGGGAACCUUUGGAUUCGUCUGAAGGGGAGAGUGGCGGACGGGUGAGUAACGCGUUGGUGACCUGCCCCAGAGAGGGGGACAACCAUUGGAAACGAUGGCUAAUACCCCAGAUGUCAUUGUGUUUAGAAAGCAAUGACUAAAGCUCCGGCGCUCUGGGAGGGGCCUGCGUCCCAUCAGCUAGUUGGUAAGGUAAUGGCUUACCAAGGCAUAGACGGGUAGGGGGCGUGAGAGCGUGACCCCCCACACUGGUACUGAAACACGGACCAGAUACCUACGGGUAGCAGCAGCAAGGAAUAUUGCCCAAUGGACGAAAGUCUGAGGCAGCAACACCGCGUGGAGGACGAAGGCCUUCGGGUUGUAAACUCCUUUUCUGGGGGAAGAGAAAGGACGGUACCCCAGGAAUAAGGCCCGGCCAACUACGUGCCAGCAGCCGCGGUAAAACGUAGGGGUCGAGCGUUAUCCGGAUUUACUGGGCGUAAAGAGCAUGUAGGCGGUUGCUUAAGUCGGACGUGAAAGCUCCUGGCUCAACUAGGAGAGGCCGUUCGAAACUAGGUAACUCGAGGAUGGUAGAGGAGAGUGGAAUUCCCGGUGUAGUGGUGAAAUGCGUAGAUAUCGGGAGGAACACCAGUGGCGAAGGCGGCUCUCUGGGCCAUUCCUGACGCUGAGAUGCGAAAGCUAGGGGAGAGAACGGGAUUAGAAACCCCGGUAUUCCUAGCCGUAAACGAUGUCAACUAGGUGUAGGAGGUAUUGACCCCUCCUGUGCUGCAGCAAACGCGUUAAGUUGACCGCCUGGGGACUACGGCCGCAAGGCUA